rnacentral:rRNA from 1 species
UGCAAGUCGAGCGGUAACGGGUCCAGCUUGCUGGAUGCCGACGAGCGGCGGACGGGUGAGUAAUGCAUAGGAAUCUGCCCAGUCGUGGGGGAUAACCUGGGGAAACCCAGGCUAAUACCGCAUACGUCCUACGGGAGAAAGCGGGGGCUCUUCGGACCUCGCGCGAUUGGAUGAGCCUAUGUCGGAUUAGCUAGUUGGUGAGGUAACGGCUCACCAAGGCGACGAUCCGUAGCUGGUCUGAGAGGAUGAUCAGCCACACCGGGACUGAGACACGGCCCGGACUCCUACGGGAGGCAGCAGUGGGGAAUAUUGGACAAUGGGCGCAAGCCUGAUCCAGCCAUGCCGCGUGUGUGAAGAAGGCUUUCGGGUUGUAAAGCACUUUCAGUGGGGAAGAAAGCGUGCCGGCCAAUACCCGGUACGGACGACAUCACCCACAGAAGAAGCACCGGCUAACUCCGUGCCAGCAGCCGCGGUAAUACGGAGGGUGCGAGCGUUAAUCGGAAUUACUGGGCGUAAAGCGCGCGUAGGCGGCUAAGUAAGCCGGUUGUGAAAGCCCCGGGCUCAACCUGGGAAUGGCAUCCGGAACUGUUUAGCUAGAGUGCAGGAGAGGAAGGUAGAAUUCCCGGUGUAGCGGUGAAAUGCGUAGAGAUCGGGAGGAAUACCAGUGGCGAAGGCGGCCUUCUGGACUGACACUGACGCUGAGGUGCGAAAGCAUGGGUAGCAACAGGAUUAGAUACCCUGGUAGUCCAUGCCGUAACGAUGUCGACUAGCCGUUGGGUCCCUUGAGGACUUAGUGGCGCAGUUAACGCGAUAAGURGACCGCCUGGGGAGUACGGCCGCAAGGUUAAAACUCAAAUGAAUUGACGGGGGCCCGCACAAGCGGUGGAGCAUGUGGUUUAAUUCGAUGCAACGCGAAGAACCUUACCUACCCUUGACAUCCUGCGAACCCUCCGGAGACGGAGGGGUGCCUURGGGAACGCAGAGACAGGUGCUGCAUGGCUGURGUCAGCUCGUGUUGUGAAAUGUUGGGUUAAGUCCCGUAACGAGCGCAACCCUUGUCCUUAUUUGCCAGCACGUAAAGGUGGGAACUCUAAGGAGACUGCCGGUGACAAACCGGAGGAAGGUGGGGACGACGUCAAGUCAUCAUGGCCCUUACGGGUAGGGCUACACACGUGCUACAAUGGCCGGUACAAAGGGUUGCAAUCCCGCGAGGGGGAGCCAAUCUCAUAAAGCCGGUCUCAGUCCGGAUCGGAGUCUGCAACUCGACUCCGUGAAGUCGGAAUCGCUAGUAAUCGUGCAUCAGAAUGGCACGGUGAAUACGUUCCCGGGCCUUGUACACACCGCCCGUCACACCAUGGGAGUGGACUGCACCAGAAGUGGUUAGCCUAACUUCGGAGGGCG